rnacentral:tRNA from 1 species
GGGCCUGUAGCUCAGCUUGGAUAGACCGACACGCACGUAGUGUGUGUCCUGUCCAUAGCACUGCCCUCCUAAGGCAGGUGUCCGGGGUUCAAAUAGAUUGAUGUGCACGAACCAAGCGAGUGUGCAUCUCUUGUGGUUCCCCGCAGGCCCG